rnacentral:precursor_RNA from 15 species
GAACUUAAUAUUGAAAUGACACCGACUCCUCGUGUUUGGCGAUUGAACCUGGAUUUUUAAUUUUCGAGUACGAGAAAUCUGUUCAUUCCUCGACACUAGUAGUUGGCGCGACACUCAGCGCACCAAACA